UUUGUAUAUAUGAGAAAGAAAGAAAGAAAGAGAGAGAGAGAGAGAGAGAGAUUGGAAUGUGACUAUUGGUACAGAGAGAGGGGACAGAAAAAACCAAAAGAAAACCCUAGAAUUCUUGCGGCUCAAAAACUUUAAAUUUGCUUUCUUUUCUAUGGUUUUCAGAUCCGACUUUGCCUCAAGAUUGAAAUUUUCGUGUUUCAAUAAGCUUUGAUCGUGGUCAGUUAUAGUGAUUUUGGGACAAAAGCAAUUGUGGGUUCGGUUUAGAAAUUUGAGAUCUUGUGAAGUAUUUUUUGGAUUGGGGGUUAUAUACUAUUUAUAAAAAGUGGUUAAAGAUGAUGUCUAGAUCGUAUACCAAUCUUUUAGAUCUAGCUUCGGGGAACUUUCCCGUAAUGGGUCGCGAAAAGAAGCGGCUACCACGUGUAAUGACCGUUCCCGGGGUUAUUUCUGAGCUUGAUGAUGAUCAGGCCAACAGUGUGUCAUCAGAUGUUCCGUCUUCGGUUGUUCAAGACCGUAUCAUUAUUGUUGCUAAUCAGCUUCCUGUGAAAGCUAAGCGUAGGCCGGAUAAUAAGGGGUGGAGUUUUAGUUGGGAUGAGGACUCAUUGUUAUUACAGCUGAAGGAUGGUUUACCUGAAGAAAUGGAGGUUUUGUAUGUAGGGUCUUUGAGGGUUGAAAUUGAUUUGACAGAACAAGAUGAUGUGUCACAGCUUUUGUUGGAUAGGUUUAAGUGUGUCCCGGCAUUUUUACCGAACGACAUUUUGAAUAAGUUUUAUCAUGGGUUUUGUAAACAGCAUUUGUGGCCACUCUUUCAUUACAUGCUUCCCUUCUCGGCAAACCAUGGCGGGCGGUUUGAUAGGUCUUUGUGGGAGGCCUAUGUGGCUGCAAAUAAGAUUUUCUCGCAAAGGGUGAUUGAGAUUUUAAACCCCGAAGAUGAUUAUGUUUGGAUUCAUGAUUACCAUUUGAUGGUGCUGCCUACUUUCUUGAGGAGAAGGUUUAACAGGCUGAGAAUGGGAUUUUUUCUUCACAGUCCGUUUCCUUCAUCAGAGAUAUAUAGGACAUUGCCCGUGAGGGAAGAGAUCCUUAAGGCACUUUUGAAUUCUGAUCUAAUUGGUUUCCACACUUUUGAUUAUGCUCGACAUUUCCUGUCUUGUUGUAGUCGAAUGUUGGGUUUGGAGUAUCAAUCGAAAAGGGGUUAUAUUGGAUUGGAAUAUUAUGGAAGGACGGUGGGGAUAAAGAUCAUGCCAGUUGGGAUUCACAUGGGCCAGAUUGAAUCUGUUUUGAGACUCGCAGAUAAGGAGUGGAGAGUGGGGGAGCUCAGACAACAGUUUGAAGGAAAAACUGUGUUACUUGGGGUUGAUGAUAUGGAUAUAUUUAAAGGCGUCAAUUUGAAACUGUUGGCAAUGGAACAGUUGUUGAAGCAGCAUCCAAAGUGGCAAGGAAGGGCAGUUCUGGUACAAAUUGCAAACCCUGCUAGGGGACGAGGGAGGGAUCUUGAGGAAAUUCAGGAUGAAAUUAGUGCAAGCUGCGAGAGAAUUAACAAAACUUUUGGGCGACCAGGUUAUGAACCAAUCGUCUUCAUUGAUAGACCAAUCUCUCUUUGUGAACGAACGGCAUACUACACCAUUGCUGAGUGUGUUGUGGUCACAGCUGUGAGGGAUGGGAUGAAUCUCACACCUUAUGAGUACAUUGUGUCCAGGCAGGGCGAGUCUGGGUCAGAGCCAAGUUCAGAAUUGAGUGGUCCUAAGAAGAGCAUGCUAGUAGUAUCAGAGUUCAUUGGGUGUUCGCCUUCAUUGAGUGGUGCAAUUCGGGUCAACCCAUGGAAUGUCGAAGCAACUGCCGAGGCAAUGAAUGAGGCAAUUUCAAUGAAUGAUUCCGAGAAGCAAUUGCGCCAUGAGAAGCAUUAUAGGUAUGUUAGCACGCACGAUGUGGCAUAUUGGUCAAGGAGCUUUUUCCAAGAUAUGGAAAGGACUUGCAAGGACCAUUUCAGAAGACGUUGUUGGGGAAUUGGUUUGAGCUUUGGUUUCAGGGUUGUGGCACUGGAUCCUAAUUUCAGAAAGUUGUCUAUUGAUGCCAUCGAAUCUGCAUAUAUAAAGUCCAAACAUAGGGCCAUUCUUUUGGAUUAUGAUGGCACAGUAAUGCCCCAAACUUCCAUCAACAAGUCCCCAAGUGAAGAGGUUAUAUCAAUUAUCAACAUGCUUUGCAGUGAUGAUAAAAACACAGUGUUUGUUGUUAGUGGAAGAGGAAAAGAUUCAUUGGGAAAGUGGUUUUCUCCUUGCAAGAAACUUGGAAUUGCUGCUGAACAUGGUUACUUCAUGAGGUGGCAUGCUGAAGAGCCUUGGAAGACCAUUGGGCAGAGUAAUGACUUUGGGUGGAUACAGAUGGCUGAGCCUGUUAUGAAAUUAUAUACUGAAUCCACUGAUGGUUCUUACAUUGAAACCAAGGAGAGUGCUUUGGUUUGGCACCAUCGGGAUGCGGACCCUGGUUUUGGAUCUACUCAGGCUAAGGAGAUGUUGGACCAUCUAGAAAGUGUUUUAGCGAAUGAACCAGUUGCUGUCAAAAGAGGUCAAUACAUUGUUGAAGUGAAGCCGCAGGGAGUGAGUAAAGGCCUGGUUGCAGAAAAGAUCUUUGCAGCAAUGGCAGAGGGUGGCAAGCAGGCUGAUUUUGUACUGUGUAUCGGUGAUGACCGAUCUGACGAGGACAUGUUUGAAAUCAUUGGAGAUGCAAUGAUAAGUGGUGUUUUAUCCUCAAAUUCAUCCGUUUUUGCCUGCACCGUUGGACAGAAGCCAAGUAAAGCCAAGUACUAUUUGGAUGACACAACUGAGGUCAUAAACAUGCUUGAGGCUCUUGCUGAUGCAUCAGACCCGUCACCCUCCCCAAGAAUUGAAGAAGGAUUUUCCCCUUGAAAUCCUCCUCCACGGCUUUUCUAACUUCAAUGUCUUCUCCUUUAUGCCAAUCGGGAAGAAAUAACAUGCCGGCCUGCGAUUAAAGGUCAAGCAGCUUUAUUUAUAAUACAUGGUGGUUAUGAAUCAAUAGCUCGUCAAGUUAAAUAGUUUUUAGUUGUCAUGGCUUAUCCCCGUUGCUUAAUUCUUUGUACGAUUGCAAAGCAUUCGACAUACUGGGCCCAAACUUCAGCUAAGAAGCUGGUGGUGAUUCCUAUAUUCCUAGAAGAAGGCGUUAAUCCAAGCACCCGAGUCAGAACAGAGCACACCCUCUCCUCUAGCAGCACCAGGGUUCCCAAGCGAUGAGUCACUUGGAAUAUCCUCUACUCUGUUGCGGUGCUGCUGCCAUAAGGUCCAUAUACCAACAACAACCAAAAAAAAAAAGAAAAAAAAAGAAGAGGAUAUUCCAAGGAAUUGAAAGGGGACCAGCCUUAGCUUCCAAUCUGCAAUUACUUUCCAGCCAAUUACGAAGAAAUCUGCACUAAAGGUUAGCUCCAAGGUUGAUUCACAAAUUGUGACAUUUAAAUAUAUAUAUAUAUAUAUUAAUUUCCCUUCCGGUCUUUUUCUUUCUAGUGAAGCAAACCAAAAUUCUAUGCUUUUCCAAGAGUUGAUCAGCUUUGUUACCAAAUUUUAUUUAUUUAUUGGGAUUUGAUUUAUUUAAAAACCUAGUUGUCAUUUUCACCUUUUAUGCUUUACAAAUAAGAGGAAACAAUUCUUCUCAAAAAAAAAAAAAAGUUAAGCGGAAGUAUCUGGACCAUUUGAAAUUUUGAAAUGAGACAAGAUAAAAAGAGUUGUGAAUGCCUGUUUUUCUUUUUUGAUGAGAUGUAUGCCUGUUUUAGAAAUGCUUGUACAGUUGUAUUGUAUGUAUAAUAAAAAUCCAUUUUCUUGUCUCGGGAA